AAAUCAUUUGAACCCAGGAGGCAGAGGCUGCAGUGAGCCGAGAUUGUGCCACUGCACUCCAGCCUGGGAGACAGAA
rnacentral:snRNA from 1 species